CGCGGAUCUACAAAACCGGUCACAGUUCGGAUCGGGGUCUGCAACUCGACCCCGUGAAGCUGGAAUCGCUAGUAAUCGGAUAUCAGCCAUGAUCCGGUGAAUACGUUCCCGGGCCUUGUACACACCGCCCGUCAAGCCAUGGAAGCCGGGAGUGCCUGAAGUCCGUCACCGCAAGGAGCGGCCUAGGGCAAAAUCGGUAACUAGGGCUAAGUCGUAACAAGGUAGCCGUACCGGAAGGUGCGGCUGGAACACCUCCUUU
rnacentral:rRNA from 1 species